AUUGAACGCUGGCGGCAUGCCUAACACAUGCAAGUCGAACGGCAGCACAGCCGUAGCAAUACGGUGGGUGGCGAGUGGCGGACGGGUGAGGAAUGCAUCGGAAUCUGCCCGAUCGUGGGGGAUAACGCAUCGAAAGGUGCGCUAAUACCGCAUGAGAUCGAGAGAUGAACGCGGGGGACCGCAAGGCCUCGCGCGAUCGGAUGAGCCGAUGCCGGAUUAGCUAGUUGGCGGGGUAAAGGCCCACCAAGGCGACGAUCCGUAGCUGGUCUGAGAGGAUGAUCAGCCACACUGGGACUGAGACACGGCCCAGACUCCUACGGGAGGCAGCAGUGGGGAAUAUUGGACAAUGGGCGCAAGCCUGAUCCAGCAAUGCCGCGUGUGUGAAGAAGGCCUUCGGGUUGUAAAGCACUUUUAUCGGGAGCGAAAAGCGGACGGUGAAUACCCGUCCGUGCUGACGGUACCCGAGGAAUAAGCACCGGCUAACUUCGUGCCAGCAGCCGCAGUAAGAC
rnacentral:rRNA from 1 species